AUGACAGAUGCAUGGACAGAUAGGAAAGGCAGGGGAGUAAUUAACCUUGUUGUUCAUAGUGUUCAAGGACCCUUGUUUUUGAAUUCAGUUGAUUGCUCAUCUGUAAAAAAAAAUGGCAAAUAUAUUUUUGACCUUGUUGAUGAUUGCAUUGAAGAUAUAGGGGCAGAAAAGGUUAUUCAAGUGGUGACCGACAAUGCUAGUGUCAAUGUAGCAGCAGCAAGUCUAAUGAAAGCAAAGAGACCUUCCAUUUUUUGGAAUAGCUCAUUCUAUUGA
rnacentral:rRNA from 1 species